rnacentral:rRNA from 1 species
GAUGAACGCUGGCGGCGUGCCUAAUACAUGCAAGUCGAGCGAACAGACGAGGAGCUUGCUCCUCUGACGUUAGCGGCGGACGGGUGAGUAACACGUGGAUAACCUACCUCUAAGACUGGGAUAAUUUCGGGAAACCGGAGCUACUACCGGAUAAUAUAUUGAACCGCAUGGUUCAAUAGUGAAAGACGCUUUUGCUGUCACUUAUAGACGGAUUCGCGUCGCAUUAGCUAGUUGGUAAGGUAACGGCUUACCAAGGCAACGAUGCGUAGCCGACCUGAGAGGGUGAUCGGCCACACUGGAACUGAGACACGGUCCAGACUCCUACGGGAGGCAGCAGUAGGGAAUCUUCCGCAAUGGGCGAAAGCCUGACGGAGCAACACCGCGUGAGUGAUGAAGGUCUUCGGAUCGUAAAGCUCUGUUAUUAGGAAAGAACAAAUGUGUAAGUAACUAUGCACGUCUUGACGGUACCUAAACAAAAAGCCACGGCUAACUACGUG